AAAAUAAUAAACAGACGACAUAUUUAACAAUAAUAAUAACACAAUCAUUGAGAAAACAUCUGAAGCAGUUCCUGAGAAGAGAGAAAAGAAGAAAAGUUAUUAACAUGUUAAUGUUGUUAGUGUGUCUGUGUGUACAUCUAAUUGUUAGUGUGUAUGUGUGUACAUCGAAUUGUUAGUGUGUCUGUGUGAACAUCGAAUUGUCAGUGUGUCUGUGUGUAGAUCUAAAUAUUAAUAUGUCUUUGUGUACAUCUAAAUAUUAGUGUGUGUCUUUGUUUAGAACCAGAUGUUAGUGUGUCUGUGUGUACAUCUAAAUAUUAAUGUGUCUUUGUGUACAUCUAAAUGUUAGUGUGUCUGUGUGUACAUCUAAAUAUUAAUAUGUCUUUGUGUACAUCUAAAUAUUAGUGUGUGUCUUUGUUUAGAACCAGAUGUUAGUGUGUCUGUGUGUACAUCUACAUAUUGUGUCUCUGAGUAGAUCUGUGUGUGUGUGAGUGUGGGUGUGUGUGUGUGUCAUGCGUAGAUCUGGAUUUGCUCCUGAGGGGUUGACAUGACGUCCUGAUGGAGUCCUGACGGCGUCCUGAUGGCGUCCCGUUGACGUGGCGUCCUGAUGGCGUCCUGUUGGUCUGCAGACAAGGAGAAGAGACGUGAGGAGGAUCAUCAGGAUGUGUCUAUCUGGAUUUGCUCCUGAGGGGUUGACAUGACGUCUUGAUGGAGUCCUGACGGCGUCCUGAUGGCGUCCCGUUGACGUGGCGUCCUGAUGGCGUCCUGAUGGCGUCCUGUUGGUCUGCAGACAAGGAGAAGAGACAUCUGGAUUUGCUCCUGAGGGGUUGACAUGACGUCUUGAUGGAGUCCUGACGGCGUCCUGAUGGCGUCCCGUUGACGUGGCGUCCUGAUGGCGUCCUGAUGGCGUCCUGUUGGUCUGCAGACAAGGAGAAGAGACGUGAGGAGGAUCAUCAGGAUGUGUCUGUGUGUACAUCUAAUUGUUAGUGGGUCUGUGUGUACAUUUAAAUAUUAAUGUGUCUUUGUGCAGAACCAGAUGUUUGUGUGUUUUUGUGUACUUCUGAAUACUAAUGUGUCUGUGUGUACAUCGAAUUGUUAGUGUGUCUGUGUGAACAUCGAAUUGUCAGUGUGUCUGUGUGUAGAUCUAAAUAUUAAUAUGUCUUUGUGUACAUCUAAAUAUUAGUGUGUGUCUUUGUUUAGAACCAGAUGUUAGUGUGUCUGUGUGUACAUCUAAAUAUUAAUGUGUCUUUGUGUACAUCUAAAUGUUAGUGUGUCUGUGUGUACAUCUACAUAUUAAUGUGUAUUUGUGUACAUCUAAAUGUUAGUAAGUGUCUUUGUUUAGAACCAAAUGUUAGUGUGUAUGUGUGUACAUCUAAUUGUUAGUGUGUCUGUGUGAAUAUCGAAUUGUUAGUGUGUCUGUGUGUACAACUAAUUGUUAGUGUGUCUGUGUGUACAUCAAAAUAUUAAUGUGUCUUUGUGUACAUCUAAAUGUUAGUGUGUGUCUUUUUUAGAACCAAAUGUUAGUGUGUCUCUGAGUACAUCUAUCUGUGUGUGUGUGAGUGUGGGUGUGUGUGUGUGUCAUGCGUAGAUCUGGAUUUGCUCCUGAGGGGUUGACAUGACGUCCUGAUGGCGUCCUGAUGGCGUCCUGAUGGCGUCCCGUUGACGUGGCGUCCUGAUGGCGUCCUGUUGGUCUGCAGACAAGGAGAAGAGACGUGAGGAGGAUCAUCAGGAUGUGUCUGUGUGUACAUCUAAUUGUUAGUGGAUCUGUGUGUACAUCUAAAUAUUAAUGUGUCUUUGUGCAGAACCAGAUGUUUGUGUGUUUUUGUGUACUUCUGAAUACUAAUGUGUCUGUGUGUACAUCUAAAUGUUAGUGUGUCUGUGUGUACAUCUAAUUGUUAUUGUGUCUUUGUGUACAUCUAAAUAUUAGUGUGUGUCUUUGUUUAGAACCAAAUGUUAAUGUGUCUGUGUGUACAUCUAAAUGUUAAUGUGUCUGUGUGUACAUCCUAAUGUUAGAGCGUGUCUGUGUUUAGAACCAAAUGUUAGUGUGUAUGUGUGCACAUCU
ensembl:lncRNA